UUUUGGCUAAGGUGGAGUGAGCUAGACAAUCUCUUUGUGAAGGUAGCCUUUCCCCUUUGUUAUUAGUCAGUCAUCUGUGGGAUGAGACAUGAAAGCCCUGUGAACAUCCUGUUCCCUGACAACCCUUCAGAGCUGGUUUCAGUGCCACUGCUGAAGCCUCUGGGAAACAUUGAUUACACUUCACGGUGAUGGUGGCAAUUUCUUGAAUUCCUUCUACAUUGACUGCCUGCGUUAUUCAGUGAAGCAGACAUUGCCUGUUCUCUACAUUUCCCCCUUCAAAAUGUUUAAUUUUAAUUUAAAAGAUUAAUACAGCCAGGAUGUUCUUUCAACAGGCAAAUAAAAACCGCAGUUUAAACUCUGAGUUUCAAUCAGAAACUAACAGCUCUUGGAUUUCCCGGGGCUCACACUCCUCUGAAACAACUCACGAAGAGCCUGAGGAAGCAGUUCUCACUGGAAAAUGCAAGAAAGUAUGUUCCGGUGAAGACCCUCAGCUCUGUUCAUUUUCAUGAUGCAAAUGCCCACAAAGGUGGUUUUGACCUGACUGACCCUGUGCAAGGAGGCACAGUCUCCUCACCAGCAUAAGCACGUGGCAUCAGAUGCGGAGACAGUUUUGGACGUGGAUGGAUGUUUACACACUGAGACUCCUUCAGUGUCCCUUUAAGAAAAUGUGGACACAGUGUCUCUGAAGCCUGUUAGUGACCACAGAAUUAAUUUCACUAAUACCUUUCGGUCACCGACUCCUGAAAAGAGAACAUGUGAAUAUCAUGAGUCCGUUGAAAAAAGACAAAAUGAAUCUCACACAGAAUGUGGUCUAUGAAAAUGAAGAGGGCAGAGAGGUCAUGGACCUUGCCUGUCACACAUCUUUUACGGGCAAACAAAAUGUGAUGAGAUGACUGAAGACUUGAGAUCCGGUUAGUGAUACCACCAAUGAGAUGAGCACCACAGUUAUUCAAGCCAGCCCAGCCCUGUCCGAGGAAUAGACUGUGGAAAAAUUGAGAGAAUUUCCAUUUCAGAAUAUAGGAAAAGGAACAUAAAGGAACAUUACCAUCUAUGAUCCCAAACGACUCUGAUAUGAAAAAAUGACUGCAACUACUUCUCUGAGUAGCAAGCCUAAAGAUGUAAAACCUAACCUUAGAUCAAGUGAAGAUCCUUCCUCCAAAAGUGGAGAUCUGUUGGAACCCAGUGAGGUGGAUUGGAGGUCAAACCUCAAGAAAGUGGACCCGAUCGGGCUGGCUCUCCUGAGCAAGCCAGGUCUGAGUCGUCAGACGGGGUCAGCUGCUCACACCUCCCUGUGUCCUGCCAGGAGACUGUAGAUGAUGAUCAAAGAAUCAUCACUAAAGCUACGUCAACUGCAAGUUGUGAGCUCAGAGGCCGGGACCUGUUCCCAGCGGAACCAUUCAUGGCUCUGCAGCUGAGACGCAGAACAUGGGGCUGCGGUGCCUGCACUCUUGAUGUCACCCCUCCCAGCACAGCUUCCUUCAGCCAGAGGUAUUGAAGAACACUCCCUUCAGCUGGAAGUGUCGCCCUGCCUCAGUGCCAGGCUGGCAGGGCCAUAGCCUGUGGCUUCUCAGGAGGCCAUCCCUAUCCAGCUGUCACGGGAGAGCAUGUGCAGAACUCUGUGGCUGUGGAAUUUGGGACCAAAUACCAGCUCUGGAUGGAUGGGCACCUCUUCCAUUUGCGACCCAUAUUCUGAUG